rnacentral:tRNA from 2 species
GGAGAGGUGGCCGAGCGGUUGAAGGCAGCGGUCUUGAAAACCGCCGAACGUGUAAGCGUUCCGUGGGUUCGAAUCCCACCCUCUCCGCCA